GAUGAAGAACGUAGCGAAAUGCGAUACGUAAUGUGAAUUGCAGAAUUCAGUGAAUCAUCGAGUCUUUGAACGCACAUUGCGCCCCCUGGUAUUCCGGGGGGCAUGCCUGUCCGAGCGUCAUUGCUGCCCUCAAGCACGGCUUGUGUGUUGGGCCUCCGUCCUCCUCCCGGGGGACGGGCCCGAAAGGCAGCGGCGGCACCGCGUCCGGUCCUCGAGCGUAUGGGGCUUCGUCACCCGCUCUUGUAGGCCCGGCCGGCGCUUGCCGACACAUCAAUCUUUUUUCCAGGUUGACCUCGGAGCAGGUAGGGAUACCCGCUGAACUUAAGCAUAUCAAUAAGCGGAGGA
rnacentral:misc_RNA from 1 species